rnacentral:rRNA from 1 species
GGAUUAGAUACCCUAGUAGUCCACGCCGUAAACGAUGUCAACUAGCCGUUGGGAAUUUUACAUUCUUAGUGGCGUAGCUAACGCGCUAAGUUGACCGCCUGGGGAGUACGGACGCAAGUUUAAAACUCAAAUGAAUUGACGGGGGCCCGCACAAGCGGUGGAGCAUGUGGUUUAAUUCGAUGCAACGCGAAGAACCUUACCAAUUCUUGACAUCCAGAGAACUUUGUAGAGAUACAUUGGUGCCUUCGGGAACUCUGAGACAGGUGCUGCAUGGCUGUCGUCAGCUCGUGUCG